AUUGAACGCUGGCGGCAGGCUUAACACAUGCAAGUCGAGCGGCAGCGCGGGGUCACUCCUGGCGGCGAGGGGCGGACGGGUGCGGAAUUCGUCGGACUCUGCCUCUUCGUGGUGGAUAACGAUGGGAAAUGGACGCUAAUACCGCAUCCGCCCUACGGGGGAAGGCGGGGGACCGCAAGGCCUCGCGCUCUUGGAUGAGCCGACGCCGGAUUGGCUAGUUGGUGGGGUAAAGGCUCACCAAGGCGACGAUCGGUAGCUGGUCUGAGAGGAUGACCAGCCACACUGGAACUGAGACACGGCCCAGACUCCUACGGGAGGCAGCAGUGGGGAAUAUUGGACAAUGGGCGCAAGCCUGAUCCAGCCAUGCCGCGUGUGUGAAGAAGGCCUUCGGGUUGUAAAGCACUUUUGUCCGGGAAGAAAGACCUGGGGCUAAUACCUUCGGGGGAUGACGGUACCGGAAGAAUAAGCACCGGCUAACUACGUG
rnacentral:rRNA from 1 species